GACAGAGGGUGCAAACGUUGUUCGGAAUUACUGGGCGUAAAGCGUGUGUAGGCGAUCUUAUAAGUCGGAUGUGAAAGCCCCGGGCUCAACCCGGGAAGUGCACUCGGUACUGUAGGACUUGAGUACUGGAGAGGUUGGUGGAAUUCUCGGUGUAGAGGUGAAAUUCGUAGAUAUCGAGAGGAACACCGGUGGCGAAGGCGGCCAACUGGACAGAUACUGACGCUGAAACACGAAAGCGUGGGGAGCAAACAGG
rnacentral:rRNA from 1 species